rnacentral:sRNA from 1 species
AUUAAUUGAGAUGGCACAUUAUUCUAGUCAUUUGAAUUUAUUAUGAAGGUGGGAAUAAAACACCACUAAAGAGCAUAUCUGUGAAACUUUUGGUGCUUGCUUUAUACGCCCAGUUUAGGGUGAGUGCUGAGAGAAGAGUAAUUGGGCAACCGUAAUGGCAUACGUCACUGACCCAAUUAUUCGUGGAGACCUAAUCUUGUUAUUAGCCUACACACGUUUCGUUGAUGGACUAAUGACGACUUAGGAUUAAACCUACUAUGUGGGGAAACUUACGAGUAGCGUAGCUUGUCUUGCGUGAAUUUAGGGGAUAGAUGACAGAUACUUGUAUAUCGGCCAAUAUAUAAGUAUUAUUGCUUCUUGAAACUACGUUUGCAAAAAAGAAUUAAUAAUAAAUGAUGGUGAGGAAAUCUCCUAGAGUGUACAUUUAUAUAGGAUUGCAGUACGUACUCAGUGGCAAUCAAGCCAUAUAUUUGGAAACAAUAUAUUCAUUUCUUUAAAGGGGAACCGCAAGUGUGGUAACGCACUGUAGAAAUGAGGGAAAUCCUGCUUGACCUUAAGACGUAAAGUUAACUAUAUGAGUAGCCAUUCAAAUUAUA